GGGAACUCUCAGAGUUUUAUUGUCUAUAUUUUUAGUGGCGCUUCCGAACUGCUCACACUGCUGGAGUGCCUGGCAUUGGGGACAGAAAAGCAAUGUACCGUGGUCAAGAGGAAGUAUCAUAGCCGUUUCACUUUGAGCGGGCUCUUUGCCCAAAGUCCUAAUUCAAGUGAUGCUAAAGAGCUCUCUAGAGGUUGUAAAGAAAGGCAAUUGCAAAUGUGUAGCCCACAAAAUCACUUUUAUUUGCUUUGAAGUGUACUCACCGAAGGUUUUUCAUUCUACUGUUCUUUAUUGUUAGGUACCCAGUCUCUACAAAGUGGGUAGAACAACACGCUGCAUAUUCGGCCAAGAGGCCAACUGCAAAAAUGAUAGGGCCAGGAGAGGAUUGUCACAACCAAUGAAGAACUCAUAAGCACAGUAGAAUCCAGGUUUUACCAAAGAAAAUUUGUAGAUCUCCAGAGGCUUGGUAAGCUGCAGACAGCUUUUAAGUAAUGAAUUAGCCCAUGACUUACUUAUGAUACUUAGACUCCUCCAACCAUGCCAAAGAAACAUUUGUUUUCUUUAUCAAUCCCUUAGGAAACAAGGCCUAAAAUGCACUUUCCAGGAUGUAUGCUCUUCCAUUCCAAAGAGGCAUUCAAGAAGGUGUUUGUCAGAAGAUAAGUGUCAGGGAAGCCUGGAGGGUCUGCCUUGGGAUCCACUGUUGAAGAAGAGAAGCUACCCUCUAAUAGAAAUUGAGGAGAACUAAAAAAAAAAAAAAAAAAAAAAAAAAAAAAAAAAAAAAAAAAAAAAGGUAAAGCAAAAAAGAAAAGGGCAGAUACUAGAGGUAUGAUUAGCUAGCAAAAACUCUUGGCAUGGUCAACCCAAAACAAACAGACAAGAAGAAAACAUAAACAAAAUCAUAUCAAGGGUUAAACACACCACCAAAUUUAUCAUGGAAAGCCGAAACAACACCAUGCCUAAGAAAAUGGAAGUUAUCUAUGGAAUCUACCAUCUCAAGGUUAUAUGAGACUCCCUUCUCCAACUCCCCAUAGCUCUAUUUUUUAGAAAACAGACAAAAGGAUGAAGAGAUAUAGAGCAAUUGUCCCAAAUGAUUGUUUAAAUUAGCCAAAUGGACUGAGAUUUAAAGCAAGACUGGGAACUUACUGUUUUAGCUCUCUACCUAGUUUGGGAAGAGACAUGAUUAAUUAAAUCAGGAUGAUGAUACACCCCGGUAUAGUUAACUUGGUAUGGAAAUCGGGUGUAUGCUUGUUAUCUCAACAUUAAGUCAGAUUUAUCAUUUGUCUUCUUUAGAAAAAUAUUUCUAAGAAAUAAGGAGUAGUACUAUCCAGAGUUUCAUCAAACAAAACUGGGAUGAAUUUCUGAUUUGGCUAUAGUUUCAUUUAGUAGUCAGGUGCAAGUGCAGUGAAUGGAAUCCUUACUUUACCAUACGAUUAAAUCUUAAUAACCCAACUCUCUUCUCUUAGCUCUUUCCAGGAAUCUUGUAACUAAAACUUACUUUUCAAGGACAGCAGGUAGAGUCCUUAUUGAUAAAGCAGAGUUCCGGGACAGCUCACUCCUGGUGUGGGGUGGUGGUAGGAAAAGUGUUUGAUGGUGCUCCUCCCUAGACCCCUGGACAUACCAACAAAUUGUGCCUUGGCUCCUGUGGCAGCCUGGGAGAUUCACAGAACUUCAAGUAGCCACUGGAGCCAAUGUAAAACAUGGGAUAUUAUAGGUUAGUUACUUUACAUAGGAAAAACAGCCUAAGU
ensembl:lncRNA